AGCUAAAUGUCCACUGCCUGAAGAAGCUCCUUCUGUCAAUAAUUAAGGGAAAUUCUGCCUCUGGAAGAACUGCCAUGGCAAAAGGGAUAGAGUAGCCUCUAUUAACACAGUAGUAUUUUACUGGUGGUAACUUUUAAUAGAUGUUCCUUCACGUUACCACAGAGAGGGGACUCUAGAAGUAAAAGAGGGAUGAAAAUGUGACACAUAAGAAAUCAGUGGGAACCAAUAUUUAUGCAUCUAUUUGACCAAGAAAGAUAAAGUACUCAAACAUGUUCUCCGAUGCAGUAAUGUAAGUGCCAAUUAUUAAAUUGAGAUUUUUUUCAUCACUACACUGGCUGCCUCAUACACAUAAUGUGAUGCUGCAAAAUGAGAAAACUGACAAGCGAGUAGAACAGACAUAAUUGCUUGAAAUUUAACUUCAGAAAGCAGAAAAAUUUCCCCAAACUUCAAAAAUGUCGACUUCUUUUGGUACAUCAUUUGUUGUUAUACUUGCUUUGUUUUGUUUGAAAAAAGUAAUGUGUUUUAUUUGUGCCAGUAUCAUUUUUUUCUGCCAUUGCAGUGUGCACAUCCAGACAGAUGCAAACACCUUUCAGUAAGGCUAUUUUAACCACUCCAAAAAAAAAAAAAAAAACGGAUCUUUCUCUGAUAACACCAUACUACUAAUAACUAAUGCCACUGAUGUGGUCAUCAGACAACAUUGCUUUAUGUUAUUUAUUUUAUGUUAGUUUAUUAUAUGGAUUCCUUUUAUUAUUAUUUACCCUUUGUGUUGUUAUUUAACAUUCUGUUAUUUUUUUUAUAUAGAAGUGUGUUAUAUUUAUAUUUCAAGCAUUCAGGGAAAGUCUUGAUGACCAGAGGGGUUGUUUAUGAUGAAGAACUUAGGGCUUACAGUGGAUAUAAUUUCUCUAAAGUUUGCUUAGAUCUGAAUACAAUCCCUAAUUCUUAAUGCUUUGCUCUCUCUCUUCAAUGCAUUUAAAAUUGUUAAAAUAAUUUUUAAUGUUGAAUUAUGUGCCUCCAUCUGAUUGUAAACUCCAUAAAGUUACAGAUUUUGUUUUCUACAUAUUAAUUAUCAUAACCUAGUAAUUAGCAUAACAUUUGAUACAAAGCAGGCAAUAAGUAUAUAUUUUUUUCAAAUAAAUGUAUAAAUGAUGGGAAAAUAAGGGGCAAAACUAUAAGGAACUAAUGCAAAAGAUAAGAAAUAAAACAAAUGUCAUAGAAUACAGAUGAGAUAAAGUUUGUCUUUAUGUCUAUCUUAGUGGAAUGUGAUAAUAA